UAAUGGAUACGGAGUAGUAUCUCAUUGUGGUUUUGAUUUGUAUUUUCCCAAUGACGAAUGACAAUGAACAUCUUUUCAUACGCUCGUUGGCCCUUUGUAUAUUUAUUUUUGGAGAAAUAGCUAUUCAAGUGCUUGAGCUAUGUUUGAAUCGUGUUUUUUGUUGUUUUUGAGUUGUCUUAUCCUUGCUUGUUGAGGUUCACAGUCUAAAGUGUUUGUAUCUCAUGUGUGUUCAGGUGUAUGUUUAAAUAAGUGUGGUAAAUUAUGCCUUUCUGUGCUUGAACAGCUCAAUCAUUUCUUUUAUGGGACUGUCCUGGGUAUGUCCCUCAGGUGGCUCAUUAGCAGCUCAUCAUCCUUGUGCAUGGAGCUAGCAGGCUCCUGGCUGCGUCUCCUGCAGCAGCCAACCUGAAUUGGCUCCCUCUGCCCCUGUGCUGAAUUGUGGGGUCGCAGCAACAAUGCAGGGUGGGCCAUCCCUCUCCAGGGUGGAAACUGGGAGCCAGUGUCCAGGGCACCCAGUACCGGGCUUAUGGCAGCCUCCCUCUUGUCUCCAGUCCUUUGCACCUCACCCCAGCCCUAUCAACACCCUCACGCAAAAGCCAUAAUAUCGUUUAGGAAGACCGUGGUCUGGAAUAGCCAAGAGGUGCUCUGAUGGGGACAAAGAAGACGCGAUGUGCUUUGACCUCUUCCUGUGAGGCUCCGCCAAUGGGGGAGAUAGGCAGGGCAGGACGAUAAUCCGGGCUUCCGGGCCCCUGGAGAGACCUGUCACCACAAUAGCUCCCUCGAUAUCUUGUGUGGACAGAUGGGCAAAUCCAGACCCAGGUGGGGGGCGCCACCCUCUACACCCGGCCUGCAGAGGAUGGAACUCAGAGGCCCCCAGGCGUGAUGCUAGCUCACGGCACUUGCAUACCUAUGACGAGCAUCUGCCCCAGUGAUACAGAGACAUAGAACACACAAUCCCCCCCGGAGAGAGAGGAGGUUGCUCUGAGCUCCAUCCUGUCCACGCCUAGGAGAAACCAGCCUCAUGGCACAUUUGGCAUAUUUGGGAAGGUCUUUGGGGGCUGCACACCCUCAGCCUCUUUCGCAGUUGGCUGCAGCACCUGCUGGAGAGGAACCUCUCUGUUCCAGGUAUGGUGGGACGAGAGAGGGUAGGGCAGGUGGCUGAGCAGAGGGGUCUGGGUUUGGGAGGAAGAGACCUCAGGGUCUGGGGGAGGGGAGGAAGUGCAGGAGGCUGGGACAAUGUGGCCAGCAGGAGGGCUGUGGACUUUGACACACUCUUGCACACUGCCCUAUCUCCAGAGGGGCUGGCCCAGGCCUUGGGCCAUAGGACUCCAGUCUCUAGAGGCCUCAGGGGAGAAUCAGAGGCAGCUCAGGCUCCUUCUAAAGCUUCACCUUCCAGAUAGAGGGUUUAGGAGACAAGAUGCUCUGAGAAGGUGAUGGAGGGGCUACCAACCCAGGGAAACCCCGCAAGGCUGGCUCAGAAAAUCUUUCAUUCCAGGUGGGGUGGGGGGAGGGGAGAAUCUGACAGUGGAGGGACACGGGCAUGGGUCAAGAAGAAUGUUCUUUUUCCUACAUCCCAUGCCCAUAUGCCCACCUUUGAGCACAUUCUGAAAGGGGGUCAUGGUCCAGGAGAACCAAUGGCUCCUACACCGGAGACACCAGAACACAGAUGCACAUGCACACACACACCACAACCGCUCUAAAAUCUUGGU